UGAAAAGAUGAGUUAUCCUCCCUUUCCUUAGCAAUAUACGCAUGUCACUCAAGAUAAUUCACCCAAGAUAUUUUUGCUGGACUUCUUGGUUGCACCUUUAUUUCUUCUUUGACUUUUGCUGGACUUCUUGGUUGCACCUUUAUUUCUUCUUUGACUUUCUCAAAGAAAGAAGACUCAAGAAACUCUUUUGCUCCCAUUUCCCACGGAUCCAUGCAAAUCAGAAAUUUGCACCUCACUUUACACUCUUAAGGAAAGUGCUAGGAAGCUCUCUUGAGUCUUCCCUGAAGUCCACCGGUUCACACACUAAAAGAAAGACAAAACCCCACCCAAAAGUCCUCCCCUAAUCUCAUUUUCUUGGCUGCACCAGAUAGAAAGUCCAGCAGCAAGAAGGAAGCUUCUUUCAACUCCCUCAAGCUCUCUACCUCUCAUACUUCUGGUCCAGCCACUAGGAAAGGAAAAUCCUUUCAUGUGUUACCAGUAUCUAAGUCUAAGCUCCUUCGACUUUAGGCUCUCGGUUCCUCUGCUUUCAGGUAAGGGAUAAGUUAUAUGAGCAUUUGGUAAGUCAUGAGGUUAUUUUAAAGUAUAUUAUGCAUUAAAAUGUUUUUGAUUAGAGAUAUGGCAUGUAAUCAUUAUUCUGACAAAGAUAUGUUCGUGAGCCUUCGAAAAACUUAUGUAUAUGAUUUAAGCAUAUUGAUGCUAUUAUUGAUUCCACGAACAUGAUGUUUAAUGAAAAGAAUGGAAAUGCUAUUAUUAUGAAAUGUUAUGCAAAAUAAGAAAUUUCAGUAUGAUGUAAAGUAUGAAAUGUUUUCGGGUUAUGUCCUUUGAUAAUUUGAACUCAGCCAGUAGGGGUUAAUUAUUGGCUUUCCAUGGAAAUAUGUUAUCUGUUUGGCCAUUUAAAGUAAAGGAAAUGGGGCUGCCCGUAACUCUAGGCCAUUUAAAGUAGAGGAAAUGGGGUUGCCCGUAACUCUAAUCUGACUAAGGCCUUCUCCCCAAUGUGUACGGACGGCGGGGAGGAACAAAACCUGGAGGGGAUGUGCCAUCAAGCCUCCCAAAGGGGACAAUAUCAUACACACGGGGGCACCCAAAUGUGAUGAGGCAUUCUCUGUACAGCUUAUCAGACAUGGACUAACCAAUAUGAUAUGAACAGCUAUGUUAUGUUAUUAAUCAUGAGAGAAUUAUUUUGUUUAAAUGCAUAAUGAAAAGUUAAAAGCUCUCAUAAAAAUAAGAAGUUUCUGAUGAAAAGAAAGCUGUUCAUUAAAGAUAAAAGUUUCCGAAAUUCUGUUGUAUUAUAAUGAUAAAGCUUCUUAUGAAAAUAGAAGUUUAUGUUUAGAAGUUAUCAGAUAUCUGUUUUUAUGAAACGUUAAAUUUUAUGAUCAUGAAAGUUAUAGUAUCUUAUGAGAAGAAGUUUAUAAAGAAAAGUUUUCUUAUUAGUCAAGAAGUUUCUAUUUUCAUACAAAGUUGCCGAUUAUCUGAUUUAAGUUAAAGUAAUUAUUUUGUAAUGAGAAUAUAUAUAUAUAUAUAUAUAUAUAUAUAUAUAUAUAUAUAUAUGGCGACUUUGUAGGAAAUGAAAGAAUUUUAAUCCGAAAGGUUUUGGUAAUAUUAUUCUGAUAAGAAAAGGGAGAACAAUUAUUUUCCCAUGAAAAGCGUAUAAGUUAUUAUUCUGAAUAGUAUAAAAUACUAUGCAUGGAAAGCUGUUCUCCUAUUCAAAUAUGCAUAGAAUGAAAUGAUUUGAUUUACAUGCAUCCUUAUUGAAUUCUCAUAUAUCUUACCUUUACUGAGCUGUGUAGCUCACCCCUUCCACUCUUUCAGUUAACAGGUUUUAUUUUGGAGCAGAGGGAGCCUUAGUCGAGUUUUGGAAGGAGCUGGUUUUAGUUUGAUAUGUAUAGAUCCUAAAUUAGCAAUUUUAUGUUUAGCUUUGUAGUAUUGUGUAUUUUAGGAUCUAAAGAAAGUUGUGUACCUUAAAGUAUUAAGAGAUGCAUUAUGUGAAAGUGUGGAAAUUAAAUGAUUGAUGGAUUAUGUUA